rnacentral:rRNA from 1 species
AGCAGUAGCCGCGGUAAUACGUAGGUGGCAAGCGUUGUCCGGAAUUAUUGGGCGUAAAGCGCGCGCAGGCGGAUCAGUCAGUCUGUCUUAAAAGUUCGGGGCUUAACCCCGUGAUGGGAUGGAAACUGCUGAUCUAGAGUAUCGGAGAGGAAAGUGGAAUUCCUAGUGUAGCGGUGAAAUGCGUAGAUAUUAGGAAGAACACCAGUGGCGAAGGCGACUUUCUGGACGAAAACUGACGCUGAGGCGCGAAAGCCAGGGGAGCGAACGGGAUUAGAUACCCCUGUAGUCCCUGUCUCUUAUACA